UACGGAGGAUCCAAGCGUUAUCCGGAUUUAUUGGGUUUAAAGGGUGCGUAGGCGGCUUUUUAAGUCAGGGGUGAAAGACGGUAGCUCAACUAUCGCAGUGCCCUUGAUACUGAAGAGCUUGAAUACACUAGAGGUAGGCGGAAUGUGACAAGUAGCGGUGAAAAUGCAUAGAUAUGUCACAGAACACCGAUUGCGAAGGCAGCUUACUAUGGUCCUAUUGACGCUGAGGCACGAAAGCGUGGGGAUCAAACAGG
rnacentral:rRNA from 1 species